AGAGUUAAAUAGUACGUGAAAUUGUUGAAAGGGAAACGAUUGAAGUCAGUCAUGCCGGUGGGAAUCAACUUAGGGGAAACUCUAGGUGCACUUCUUCGCUUGGCAGGUCAACGUCGAUUUUGAAUGUCAUAAAAUAAUUGGGGGAAGGUAGCUCCUUCGGGAGUGUUAUAGCCCUUGAUAGAUGUGAUGUUUGGGGUCGAGGAUUGCAACGGAUACCCUUUGGGGCUAGCCGCCUGAUCUCUAAUCGGUGUUGGGUUACGUACAGCAUGCUGACCGUGAUCUAAUUACUGGUUAAAAGGUUAGAGCGUGCAUAAAUUCGUUAAGGACGUUGACGUAAUGGCUUUAAACGACC
rnacentral:rRNA from 1 species